rnacentral:lncRNA from 1 species
AGAGGAUGUUUACAGCUCCAUGAAGGUGUAUCUCACAAAUGGUGGCUCACCGCGCUGCUAUAACGCCGCCGAUCCUCAGCUGAACUCCACAAACUGGCUUGUGAGCUACAUUGGCGUCUUCAUCAGAUACGUCAAUCUGUCUGACCUCAACUCUUUCGUGUCAUCUGACCAGAUUGGUGUGUUCUUGGAAAACCCGGAGAACCUUCAGCUGCUCAACAGCACCAUAACCAUCCAGUCCAGCGUAGCCAACUACUACGUAACACAGCUGUACAAUCAGAACCCGUCCUUCAACCCCAUCAGGCUGCCAGGCCAGUUCUUGUGUGGAAUUCCUUCAUUUGCAUUCGAGCUUCUAGGAGCAGACGACAGUUUGGUGCUCAUCCAGCAAAUCAACGUGUUCUGUAAUGGAACCGAGAGCCCUGAGAUCACGUCUGCUCUCGCAGCCAAUCUCCCUUCGCUCUCCUCCUCCACCAUCCAGCUGCUCGGCAGUCAGAGCGUGGGCCUGACGGAGGCUCAGAUAAGCUCCGCCUCCGCUGAUGUCAUCAAGGGCGCGCUGUCGACUCUCAGCGCCGUCGACGGCUGGAAUCAGGGCCAAGCCAACGCAGUCAUACAGACUCUCAUUCAGUCCGACUUUCCAGUGAGUCUAAAUAACACUUUCAGCUGUAUUUUCCCUACA